rnacentral:rRNA from 1 species
AGCGAACGCUGGCGGCAGGCCUAACACAUGCAAGUCGAACGAAGUCUUCGGACUUAGUGGCGGACGGGUGAGUAACACGUGGAAACGUACCUUUUGGUUCGGAACAACUCAGGGAAACUUGAGCUAAUACCGAAUGUGCCCUUCGGGGAAAGGAUUUAUCGCCAUUAGAGCGGCCCGCGUUAGAUUAGCUAGUUGGUGGG